GUUGAGAAACGCGUAAGACGUUCCCAAACCUCAUCUCGUCGUUCCAAAACAGGGUCACCAUAAACAAACGUCAUGAAAACUUUUAUUCCAUCAAUGAUUGCCUCAAUGUCAAUCAUUCUGUUAUUCGAAAAUAAAACAUUAACUCGAAAAUCAUCCAUAAAAAAUAAAGCUAAACCUCCGCUAAGGCCAAGUGGCUCAACGGUAAAUAAAUGAUCAAAUCCUAAAUCGGCCUGAAUGUUUUGCAGCAGCGGCCUCCUAUUCUUCGUCUCAGAAAGAAACACAAGUCCUGGGCGAUGCUUCUCACAC
rnacentral:lncRNA from 1 species